CAGUCGCCGCGGGAAUACAGAGGGUGCAAGCGUUAAUCGGAAUUACUGGGCGUAAAGCGCGCGUAGGUGGUUUGUUAAGUUGGAUGUGAAAUCCCCGGGCUCAACCUGGGAACUGCAUCCAAAACUGGCAAGCUAGAGUAUGGUAGAGGGUGGUGGAAUUUCCUGUGUAGCGGUGAAAUGCGUAGAUAUAGGAAGGAACACCAGUGGCGAAGGCGACCACCUGGACUGAUACUGACACUGAGGUGCGAAAGCGUGGGGAGCAAACAGGAUUAGAUACCCGGUAGUCCCUGUCUCUUAUACA
rnacentral:rRNA from 1 species